UACGGAGGGUGCGAGCGUUGUCCGGAAUCACUGGGCGUAAAGGGCGCGUAGGCGGCGCGGGAAGUCCGUGGUGAAAGCCCGAGGCUCAACUUCGGGUCGGCCAUGGAUACUCCUGGGCUUGAGCACUGUAGAGGCAGGUGGAAUUCCGGGUGUAGCGGUGGAAUGCGUAGAGAUCCGGAAGAACACCGGUGGCGAAGGCGGCCUGCUGAGCAGUAGCUGACGCUGAGGCGCGACAGCGUGGGGAGCAAACGAGG
rnacentral:rRNA from 1 species